rnacentral:rRNA from 1 species
AUUGAACGCUGGCGGCAGGCCUAACACAUGCACGUCGAACGAGUGGCGGACGGGUGAGCAAUGUCUGGGAAACUGCCUGAUGGAGGGGGAUAACUACUGGAAACGGUAGCUAAUACCGCAUACAAUCAGAUGUGCCCAGAUGGGAUUAGCUUGGUGGUGGGGUAACGGCUGACCAAGGCGAAUAUCCCUAGCUGGUCUGAGAGGAUGACCAGCCACACGGGAACGGAGACACGGUCCAGACUCCUACGGGAGGCAGCAGUGGGGAAUAUUGCACAAGGGGCGCAAGCCUGAUGCAGCCAUGCCGCGUGUAUGAAGAAGGCCUUCGGGUUGUAAAGUACUUUCAGCGGGGAGGCGUUACCCGCAGAAGAAGCACCGGCUAACUCCGUGCCAGCCGCCGCGGUAAUUC